AUUGAACGCUGGCGGCAUGCCUUACACAUGCAAGUCGAACGGCAGCACGGGUGCUUGCACCUGGUGGCGAGUGGCGAACGGGUGAGUAAUACAUCGGAACAUGUCCUGUAGUGGGGGAUAGCCCGGCGAAAGCCGGAUUAAUACCGCAUACGAUCUACGGAUGAAAGCGGGGGACCUUCGGGCCUCGCGCUAUAGGGUUGGCCGAUGGCUGAUUAGCUAGUUGGUGGGGUAAAGGCCUACCAAGGCGACGAUCAGUAGCUGGUCUGAGAGGACGACCAGCCACACUGGGACUGAGACCCGUCCCAGACUCCUAGGGGAGGCAGCAGUGGGGAAUUUUGGACAAUGGGCGAAAGCCUGAUCCAGCAAUGCUGCGUGUGUGAAGAAGGCCUUCGGGUUGUAAAGCACUUUUGUCCGGAAAGAAAUCCUUGGCCCUAAUACGGUCGGGGGAUGACGGUACCGGAAGAAUAAGCACCGGCGAACUACGU
rnacentral:rRNA from 1 species